GAUGAACGCUGGCGGCGUGCUUAACACAUGCAAGUCGAACGGAAAGGCCGAAGCUUGCUUCGGUACUCGAGUGGCGAACGGGUGAGUAACACGUGGGUGAUCUGCCCUGUACUUCGGGAUAAGCUUGGGAAACUGGGUCUAAUACCGGAUAUGACGAUCUCUUGGAUGGGGUUGUGGAAAGCUUUUGCGGUAUGGGAUGAGCUCGCGGCCUAUCAGCUUGUUGGUGGGGUAAUGGCCUACCAAGGCGUCGACGGGUAGCCGGCCUGAGAGGGUGUACGGCUUCAUUGGUACUGGGAUACGGCCCAGAUUUCGACGGGAGGCAGCAGUGGGGAAUAUUUCACAAUGGGCGCAAGCCUGAUGCAGCGACGCCGCGUGGGGGAUGACGGCCUUCGGGUUGUAAACGCCUUUCUCAAUCGACGAAGCCUUUUGAUGACGGUAGGUUGAGAAGAAGCACCGGCUAACUACGUG
rnacentral:rRNA from 1 species